rnacentral:rRNA from 1 species
UACGUAUGGGGCAAGCGUUAUCCGGAUUUACUGGGUGUAAAGGGAGCGCAGGCGGCCUGGCAAGCCUGAUGUGAAAUACCGGGGCCCAACCCCGGGGCUGCGUUGGGAACUGCCAGGCUGGAGUGCCGGAGAGGCAGGCGGAAUUCCUAGUGUAGCGGUGAAAUGCGUAGAUAUUAGGAGGAACACCAGUGGCGAAGGCGGCCUGCUGGACGGUGACUGACGCUGAGGCUCGAAAGCGUGGGGAGCAAACAGG